GUGCUUGCUUCAGCAGUAUAUAUACUAAAAAUGAAAUAAUACAAAGAAGAUUAGCAGGGCCCCUGCACAAGGAUGACACACAAAUUCGUUAAGUGUUUCAUAUUUUU